rnacentral:tmRNA from 1 species
GGGGCUGAUAUGGUUUCUACGUAUUAAUAUUUUAAUUAAGUUGAAGUUAAUUUAUAAUAUUUACAGCUUUUCAUGCUAAUUUUUUAUUAGCUAUAAUUUAAUUGCAAAAAAUAAUAUUUUAGUCUUUUCUCAAAAUUUAAUUACAGUAUAAGUUUUGAGAAUAUUAAUUUACAUUUAUUCGGUGUAUUUUGAUAUAUUUAAUAGAAAUGCUCUAACUAUUAGCUUUAAAUAUUAAGUAAACUAGUUAAGUAAAGUUACUAUGUGUCUUAUAUACGUGAAUUAGCUCAUCUGUAAUAACUUGAUCUAUUGUAUUAAUAUGGACGUGGGUUCGAAUCCCACCAGCUCCA